rnacentral:rRNA from 1 species
AACGAACGUUAGCGGCGCGCUUAACACAUGCAAGUCGCUCGAGAAAGGGCUUCGGCCCCGGUACAGUGGCGCACGGGUGAGUAACACGUGGGUAAUCUUCCCUCGGGCGGGGGAUAACAUUCCGAAAGGAGUGCUAAUACCGCAUAAGACCACGACUUCGAAAGGAGCUGAGGUCAAAGCCGGCCUCUAUUCAUAAGCUGGCACCUGAGGAUGAGCCGGCGGCCCAUCAGCGGGUUGGUUAGGGAAUGGCCUACCAAGGCAAAGACGGGUAGCUGGUCGGAGAGGAUGAUCAGCCACACUGGAACUGAGACACGGGACAGACUCCUACGGGAGGCAGGAGUGGGGAAUCUUGCGCAAUGGGCGAAAGCCUGACGCAGCGACGCCGCGUGAGUGAUGAAGGCCUUCGGGUUGUAAAGCUCUGUGGGGAGAGACGAAUAAGUCGGAGCUAAUACCUCCGGCGAUGACGGUAUCUCCUUAGCAAGCACCGGCUAACUCUGUGCCAGCAGCCGCGGUAAAAC